CCUACGGGGGGCAGCAGUGGGGAAUAUUGCGCAAUGGGCGAAAGCCUGACGCAGCGACGCCGCGUGAGGGAUGAAGGUCUUCGGAUCGUAAACCUCUGUCAGCAGGGAAGAACGGUCACUGUGCUAAUCAGCAGUGAAUUGACGGUACCUGCAAAGGAAGCACCGGCUAACUCCGUGCCAGCAGCCGCGAUAAUACGGAGGGUGCGAGCGUUAGUCGGAAUUACUGGGCGUAAAGCGCUCGUAGGCGGUAUGUCAAGUCAAGGGUGAAAGCCCCGCGCUCAACGUGGGAACUGCCUUUGAAACUGGCAAACUGGAGUGUGUGAGAGGAUAGUGGAAUUCCAGGUGUAGGAGUGAAAUCCGUAGAUAUCUGGAGGAACAUCAGUGGCGAAGGCGACUAUCUGGCACAUAACUGACGCUGAGGAGCGAAAGCGUGGGUAGCAAACAGGAUUAGAUACCCCUGUAGUC
rnacentral:rRNA from 1 species